rnacentral:rRNA from 1 species
GACGAACGCUGGCGGCGUGCCUAAUACAUGCAAGUCGAGCGAAUGGAUUAAGAGCUUGCUCUUAUGAAGUUAGCGGCGGACGGGUGAGUAACACGUGGGUAACCUGCCCAUAAGACUGGGAUAACUCCGGGAAACCGGGGCUAAUACCGGAUAACAUUUAGAACCGCAUGGUUCGAAAUUGAAAGGCGGCUUCGGCUGUCACUUAUGGAUGGACCCGCGUCGCAUUAGCUAGUUGGUGAGGUAACGGCUCACCAAGGCAACGAUGCGUAGCCGACCUGGGAGGGUGAUCGGCCACACUGGGACUGAGACACGGCCCAGACUCCUACGGGAGGCAGCAGUAGGGAAUCUUCCGCAAUGGACGAAAGUCUGACGGAGCAACGCCGCGUGAGUGAUGAAGGCUUUCGGGUCGUAAAACUCUGUUGUUAGGGAAGAACAAGUGCUAGUUGAAUAAGCCGGCACCUUGACGGUACCUAACCAGAAAGCCACGGCUAACUACGUGCCAGCCGCCGCCGUAA